GGCUGGUCCCCGCGGCGGUGCCCGGGUGCCGGGGCGGGAGCGGGGGGGGCAGAGCGCUGGGCGCUGCUGGAGCACGGCUGCCGCAAAGGAUCGCCCGGAAAGCCAGGCCUUCAUUUACAUCUAAAUUUCAUGUGAGCCAUGUCAUAGUAACUCUUAACGACACACACAAGUGGUAGCUUUUUACAUUCCUUGAC